rnacentral:rRNA from 1 species
GACGAACGCUGGCGGCGUGCUUAACACAUGCAAGUCGAACGGAAAGGCCCUGCUUUUGUGGGGUGCUCGAGUGGCGAACGGGUGAGUAACACGUGAGUAACCUGCCCUUGACUUUGGGAUAACUUCAGGAAACUGGGGCUAAUACCGGUUAGGAGCUCCUGCUGCAGGGUGGGGGUUGGAAAGUUUCGGCGGUUGGGGAUGGACUCGCGGCUUAUCAGCUUGUUGGUGGGGUAGUGGCUUACCAAGGCUUUGACGGGUAGCCGGCCUGAGAGGGUGACCGGCCACAUUGGGACUGAGAUACGGCCCAGACUCCUACGGGAGGCAGCAGUGGGGAAUAUUGCACAAUGGGCGGAAGCCUGAUGCAGCAACGCCGCGUGCGGGAUGACGGCCUUCGGGUUGUAAACCGCUUUCGCCUGUGACGAAGCGUGAGUGACGGUAAUGGGUAAAGAAGCACCGGCUAACUACGUG